AACAAUUUUAAGCCGAAUAUUAUCAAUCGUAUUUUUCAUCCAGGUAACCCAGAAAUCAGCAAAAAAAUUACCAAUCUGUCCAAUCAAUCAUUUAUAAAAAAAAAACCUCAAGGAAAACUAAAAAAAUUACCUCUUCAAUACACUAAUUAGAUCAAAAAUACUAUAAGAAAGUUCCCAUAAGAUUUUCAAUUGGGGCAAGAUUUCAAGUAGAAAAGAUGUUUACAGAUACGAAAUAAACUCAUCGUAAUAUAUUCCUCGCUUCACU